AGCUUUGUUCAUUUAUAUGGAUAGACAGCAAACAGUCUGAAUUGCCUCCGUAUGAGCGGGAGCUUGUAGAUUCAUAACCGGUACCUGCUCUCUGCCGCUACAGGGUUUCCCAGUGAUCUUCCACGGAGUGAUGGGAAAGGAUGAGCGAGAGGCCAACAGUCCGUCUUCUUCAAUGUGUCUGAGAUCGAAGUCCUGGUCGACUACCUCACCAAACUGGUGGAAACGCAACAGAAGAAGGGCCUCCCGAAGCUCUCUGCAAAGGACAUCGGCAUCAUCGCCCCCUACAGGAAGCAAGUUGAAAAGAUCCAAAAGGCCCUGCGGUCCGUUCCAGCGCUGAGAAAAUGGGAGGAUCUCAAAGAGCUGAAGGUUGGUUCUGUGGAAGAGUUUCAGGGGCAGGAGAGGAGGAUCAUCAUGGUGUCUGCGGUCCGAAGCAGCAUCAACUACAUCAAGAUGGACAAAGACUUCAACAUUGGGUUUCUGUCAAACGAAAAGAGGUUCAAUGUGGCUAUAACAAGAGCCAGAUCCCUGCUCAUAGUCGUGGGAAACCCCGUGAUCCUCAACAAGGACCCCACCUGGAAGAAAUUCAUCAGCUACUGCGUGGAGGAGAGGGGCUACACUGGCUUCGACUUCAAAGACGCAGAGGGAGAAGAUGACAUCGUGUCAAGAUGGC
rnacentral:lncRNA from 1 species